AUGCUGCUAUGCAGCGCCCUGGCCGUGGUGCUACUACCAGGGAGCUCACCGGCGGCGGAUGCUGCUAUGCAACGCCCUGGCCGUGGUGCUGCAAUCGUGGACCUUGCCGGCGGCGGAUGCUGCCAUGCAAACGCCCUGGCCAUGGUGCAGCAUUCCCGGACCUCGCUGGCGGUGGGAUGUCGCCAUUCAACGCCCUGGCCAUGGUGCUGCAAUCCCGGACCUCGCCGGCGCCAGAUGUUGCCAUGCAACUUUUGCUCGUGGUGUUGCAACCGCGGAUCUGGCCAUCGGCGGGAUGCUGUAAUGCAGCUCUCGCUCAACCAUAGAGGUCUUGUCAGCGCUGCAAGGAGGUGGUCACAACAGCCGCCUGUGUUGCAAGGCCGACUUCAUCGAUGGCAUGCUGCAAAAGGGAGACGAUGA
rnacentral:rRNA from 1 species